GCAUGCAUAACGUCAAAGCACUAAGGUAAUGUAGGUAAGGGGUGAGUCCCUUAAGUAGGUCCCACAUGCCCCUCCCACAACUCCAGGCAAAGCCUUCACAUUUGUGUUCAGGGCAACCAUUGUAAUUUUAAUGUAUGCUGUGUAUUGAUGUAACCUAUAUAUAGGUCGGUUGAUGUGUGCCGAAACCGACGUAUGCGGUAGUCUCGUAAUAAAGUGGUCAAAAAUAGAAGUGUCUUGCCAAAUAAUAUUUAUUCAUACAUGGAAACAUAAUACAAAGAAUAUAUCUCAAGAUGACAAUUUAACAAAAGCUGACCUCAUUUCUAGCACAGGCUGAGGUAUGUACAGAAAGAAAGCGGAUGACUUCCAACGCCCUAGUGACUUGAUGACAUGAACUGGCAUGUCCUGACAAGAUGCGGUAGAAGCUGCCCCUAUCCUGAAAGACUGUCCUGAAAACUUACUAGCGUUCAAACCUAGUCUAGUCAGUAACACCCGUACAUACUGCAUGAACUUUGAGGUAGUCAGGAUGGCCCCGUGGAGGACCAGCAGAGGGAUAUCUGACAGGUGGUAGUGUUUGCAGAUAUGAAUCCAGAACCUUAAACAGGCACCAUUUAUUUAGAGUGGGAUAAGUGAUCUGAACUGAUUGACACGGCAUACUCGUUUUUGUAAUGGGCAAGGAUAGGACAUAGUAUUUUGAUGUUUAACUAGAAAAGAUAGUUUAAGGCAUUCUUGUGAGAUUCUGUUACUAUGUAUGGUGAAUUCGUGGUGAAAACCUGUGCUAUAAACCAGGAAGACAGCCACUAGAGGAGGCGUUAACCCUGAAAGGUAAUUAUUGCAGCUUAUAAAAACUGCAAUAAUUACACUUGCAGGUUUAAGGGUAGUGGGAGUUGGCACCCAGACCACUCCAAUGGGCAGAAGUAGUCUGGGUGCCUGGAGUGUCCCUUUAAAUAUGUUUGUGAAUGGGUAACCUUUGAAGUGGAGUAGUGUUACUGGCUUUAUGUAUGCCUUUCAGUAUGGUCUUAAUUGGGUAUGAAGACCAAAAACAAGGGUUGUUUAGAAAUAAUGUAUAUACAUGGUGCUGAAUGCCGGUUAAAUACAGCAUGAUAGUGUUAUGUGACAAUUUGAGUCUAAGGUGGCAAAAAGUUGCGAAAGCUACCAGAGAUGAUAUGUCAAACAACUGAACAAGGCUAUGUUGCAACAUGAAUUUUUUUUACAAUGAGAAAGCUCUAUUAUAAGACAGCCGCAUGUUUUCCGAAAGGGCCAAGUUGGUCAAGAGGAGACUAUGAUCCAAUAACUCUUCUAAUCCAUGACUAGCUCCUGCAAUGGAGGGGCGGCAGUGGCUAUCAUUGAGGCCAUGGGUAGUGUUUCUCUGAAGGCCUGGAAGUCAAAGCGAGACAACUUGUCAGCUGCAGUAUUAAAAACCCCGGGAGCAUGACCACAAACCAGAUAAAAGUGAUUACAGGCUGCCAACCAUGUCAGUGCCCUAAUGAACCUCAUUAUAGUUAGUGAGGAGGAACGCCCUUUGUUAAUAAUACAGCAGGUAGCUAGCUUGUCGGAAAAGCAACGCACCAAGCAACCCGCCCAUGAAUGACCCCAUACCACAGCUGCUGCUGCUACAAUAGGGUAUACCUCAAAUAAGGCCGAGGUGUGGGAGAACCUUUCAAUAAGCUGCACCUCCUAUGGCCAACUACUCCAGAGCCACUUGUCGCCAAACAUGGCUGCAAAACCUGUGGAUGCUGCAGCAUGUGACCAGAUGACUGGAGAGUGUAUAGAUAGCUGUGGGAGAAACAUGCUCCUCCCAUUCCAUUGGACCAGAAAUUUGCGCCAUAAGUAGGUCAGCCGUAGCUUGGGAAUCCAAGGAAAUACGACUAAAAUAGUUGGACAAUUUGGGGAGUAGGCAAAGGAGUCUCGAAAUAAAAAACUUAGCAAACUCAACAGAGAUUGCAAUUCCUUGCGAUUGCAGGUCCCCACUUGUAAGAAUUUGUCAAUAACCUGCAGGAUGCUAUCAAUUUUACCUAAAGGGAUACUGGCUUCCAUGGCCACAGAAUCGAGUAGGAUACCCAAAAAAUUAACCAAAGUGUCUGUGCCUUCUGUUUUCUUGGAAGAGAACGGCACCCCCAGGAAUGAAAAAAUGAAAUGGCCCAUCUGACUAGGAUACCUAGGGACCUUCGUAUCUUAUUUUAUGCCUUGCUCAUGAGAAUCUAGGCACCUCACAAG
rnacentral:lncRNA from 1 species